rnacentral:lncRNA from 1 species
GCAAGUUGACGUAACACGUUAAAUCAUCAUUUCAAACAAAAAUUUUAGGUUGAAUUAUACAAUUGUUCCCCAUAUUUUUUUUCAUUUUGAGCAAUUUAAUUUUUUUCUUUUAUAUUAUUUUAACUUUCCUUUUUUUCUUCAUUUUUUUAUUCUCUUCUACUUUUCUCUCUUUUUUCCUCCCUUCUCUAUCUCUUUUAACGUAGUUUUUCUAUAUUUUACAUUUGUUAAAACUUUAUUAUGUUUAUGAAAAAAGAAAAAGGCAAAAGCUUAAACCAAAAUAAAACUUGCUUCACAUAUUCUCACCCCACAAUUACAAAACCUCAUCAUUCAUUAUCGCUUUAACAAACCAAUUCGGAUCUCUCAAUGACCUAAUCCACAAGCUCGCCUCACUCAAAGACCUCGCUAGUCAUGGCUGAUGGCAGUCCACCCUCAACA